CACGUAGGAGGCGAGCGUUGUCCGGAAUCAUUGGGCGUAAAGAGCGCGCAGGCGGCUUGGCAAGUCGGGUGUGAAAUCCCGGGGCUCAACCCCGGGACUGCAUUCGAUACUGUCAGGCUAGAGGUAGGUAGGGGAGAUCGGAAUUCCUGGUGUAGCGGUGAAAUGCGCAGAUAUCAGGAGGAACCCCGGUGGCGAAGGCGGAUCUCUGGGCCUUACCUGACGCUCAGGCGCGAAAGCUAGGGGAGCGAACAGG
rnacentral:rRNA from 1 species